CGCGGUCGCGCCGCGCCCGUCGCGCUUGACCAAAGAAGCCACGCCGCGCCGCGCCCGCAGCCGCUCCCCGACAACAGGAGGCUUCCCUCGCGAGCCACCUCGCUCCUCCGUCUCCCGCUCUGCCGCGACACGGCCAGCCCCCGCCGCGAAAGCCGGCCGCCCUACCCUAAACCCUAAACCCUCCCGGCCCGCCCCGGCUCGGAAUGCAGCCCUCGCCGGGUCCCCCGCCGCUCCCGGCGGCCGCGUCGGUGUCGGCGGAGCUCACGCGCCUCGAGGCGCAGCUGGACCAGUCCGCCGACCAGUGGGCGCGCGGCCAGCUCGCGGAGCUCGGCGACGCCGCGGCGGCCAGGGUGCUCCGGAAGGUCGCGGAGACCGGCGCCCGGGUGCGGAACCUGUCCGCCUUCAUCAAGUGGCUCGCCAAGCAGGAGGCCAUGCAGCGCAACGCCGAGGGGGUCCCCACCGCCGAGAGCGCCGCGUGCAGCUCCGGCCCCUUCCGCGCCUCCCCGCAGGCCAUUUAUCAAACGGAGGAUUCCAUAUCAGGACCAUUCUACCAAGAUGACAUCCAAAUGGAGGUUCAGAGCCCUGAUGGUGUGAUGGCCUUUGGUCUUUCGAACCAGGCAAGGAUCGUGCCUAUGAGCUCUGUCCGCCAGAGCCCCGCCAGGACAAAUGCUUGUACUGUUCCAGAAAUAGUCGAAAUGGAGGUUGAGAGCCCACCGGGUUCGAACUCUCCUUGCUUGCAGAAUCAGUACCCUUUUUCAGCAGUGGCUUCUCCAAUAGCAAAUCCUGGAGGAAUGGGGGCUGGGUGUAUUGAGUAUCAGAUGCCUGAUAGUCCUUCCCGGGUUCUCACCCCAAGCCCUGUUUGGGAUAUUACAACGCGUAUUCAGCAAAUGGAUGGCCUAUCAGGAAGGAUAGGGAUCAGGACACCACCUUCUGUUGCCUCUUGGAAUUCUUUGAGGGCAAUAGCAAGCCCUCAAAUGUUUGCACUGGGGGAGUUAGAGUUUGAUCGAUUUUUCCUCAUACGCGUGUACCUAGCAGACAAGAAGAUAGAAGAAGUACUAGAGGAUGUAAAUUAUAUAAGGUAUUUGAAGUCACUGCCCAUGGAUUGCUUCGAAUCAGAAAUCUGGAACAAAUUUGGAAAGAACUAUGUACUAGCUUCAGAUAGAAGAAAGAAUCUUGAUUGGGACCCGAACAAGACAAGACUGUACCACUGUAAUGUCGAGAAACGGGAUGAUACCAUAGCUUAUAUCUUUAAGGGUCCAUAUGUGGAGAAUACAAGGACUCAUCUGCAGAAAAUUGUUGGUGAUGACAAUGUUCUUAUUGUGAAGUUUGCAGAUAUACCUGAUCUUGUAAAUAAAAUCGACAAGUUCGGUAUCUACUGCACAUUUUACAGCCAGCUCGCUAAUGAUGGUAUCCUUUUGGGCUUGCGUCGAUAUCACUAUUUCAGUUAGUUUUGUUUUUCUUGUACUGCAAUACUGGUAUAGAACUAUAGAUCAAUUUACAAGGCAAAGAUCAAUUGCUACUGAUAGUUUUAAUCUCCACAAUUGCGUGCACAGUGAAGUCAAUUCACAGCUUUGCUAAAUGAGCUAUUCCAGAAACACACUAUGCUUGAGGGAAAAAUUAGCUAGAACUAUUGCAUUUAAAACUUGUCUAGACCACUGUUCACUGAUUACAUUUGUUGGGAAUAUCUAGAUAUCAUGUUAGAUGGUUUAUGCUGGUGGGGAACUAGGGAUUAUAAAUCCUGUCAGCAUGUAGAAACUAGUCAACCUUGAGUCUGUUAUAGCUCUUCCAUUUAGUCUAUACUGGAGCCUUGCCAGGAGUUAUAUUUUGAUCUGCUAAUAAAGACCUAGGAACACAGAGGAUUCAAUAUAGCUAUAUGCACUAAGCUACUAAUGGUAAACAAAAUCAUAUCAUGUAACAUCCAUUCUUCUCAUGGCGAGGUUCUUUUUCUAUGACUUCGAUCAUGUCACCUAAAUUGCAGCCUUCUGAUAUACUCCCUCUGAUCCUGAUUAUAAGUCCAUUUGGCUUUGUCCUCAGUCAAACUUUCUUAGCUUUGAUUAUUAGUUGCUAAAAUGUAUAGAUUUAUAACAUGAGGAUAAUAUUAGUAGAUUCAUUAUGGAACAUACUUUCAUAACAUGUACGCCGUAUCUGUUUCUAUUUAAAAUAAUAUAUUCUUAUAGACAUUUGUUGGUCAAAGUACAAUAUUGAAGACUGUGUCGUUGUCCUAAUGGACUUAAAUUUGGGAUCAGAGGGAGUAUACAUUAUCCUCAUCUUCUUUGGAAUUCUCACCUGACCUAGGUGUUUUGAUGUGUUUCUCACCUGACCUUAACUGAAACAAGAUUAAAGUGUGGCUUAGCCUGUGUAGCCUAUCCAUUUUCGUGUGCAGGAUAGUAAGGAAAUAGAAUUACAAGUUUUAUUUUAAAAAGAUAUUGUACUGUUUUCAAGGAAUAAGUAUUUCUCGGUGAUGGUCCUUAGUUUU